AGGAUUAACGCUGGCGGCGUGCCUAACACAUGCAAGUCGAACGAGGUAGCAAUACCUAGUGGCAGACGGGUGAGUAGCGCGUGGUCAACCUACCGUUGAGUGGGGGAUAACUAGCCGAAAGGUUAGCUAAUACCGCAUACGUCUCCGAGGGGCAUCCCUUGGCGAUAAAAAGGAGCAAUCCGCUCGAUGACGGGACCGCGUCCCAUUAGCUAGUUGGUGGGGUAACGGCCUACCAAGGCGUCGAUGGGUAGCUGGUUUGAGAGAGCGACCAGCCACACUGGGACUGAGAUACGGCCCAGACUCCUACGGGAGGCAGCAGUGAGGAAUUUUCCGCAAUGGGCGAAAGCCUGACGGAGCGACGCCGCGUGUGGGAAGAAGGCCUUCGGGUCGCAAACCACUGUCGAAGGGGAAGAUAAUGACGGUACCCUUGGAGGAAGCCCCGGCUAACUACGUGCCAGCCAGCCGC
rnacentral:rRNA from 1 species